rnacentral:rRNA from 1 species
GAUGAACGCUGGCGGCGUGCCUAAUACAUGCAAGUCGAGCGAACAGAUAAGGAGCUUGCUCCUUUGACGUUAGCGGCGGACGGGUGAGUAACACGUGGGUAACCUACCUAUAAGACUGGGAUAACUUCGGGAAACCGGAGCUAAUACCGGAUAACAUUUGGAACCGCAUGGUUCUAAAGUGAAAGAUGGUUUUGCUAUCACUUAUAGAUGGACCCGCGCCGUAUUAGCUAGUUGGUAAGGUAACGGCUUACCAAGGCGACGAUACGUAGCCGACCUGAGAGGGUGAUCGGCCACACUGGAACUGAGACACGGUCCAGACUCCUACGGGAGGCAGCAGUAGGGAAUCUUCCGCAAUGGGCGAAAGCCUGGCGGAGCAACGCCGCGUGAGUGAUGAAGGGUUUCGGCUCGUAAAACUCUGUUAUUAGGGAAGAACAAAUGUGUAAGUAACUGUGCACGUCUUGACGGUACCUAAUCAGAAAGCCACGGCUAACUACGUG